rnacentral:rRNA from 1 species
GAUGAACGCUGGCGGCGUGCCUAAUACAUGCAAGUCGAGCGAACAGAUGAGGAGCUUGCUCCUCUGACGUUAGCGGCGGACGGGUGAGUAACACGUGGAUAACCUACCUAUAAGACUGGGAUAACUUCGGGAAACCGGAGCUAAUACCGGAUAAUAUAUUGAACCGCAUGGUUCAAUAGUGAAAGACGGUUUUGCUGUCACUUAUAGAUGGAUCCGCGCCGCAUUAGCUAGUUGGUAAGGUAACGGCUUACCAAGGCGACGAUGCGUAGCCGACCUGAGAGGGUGAUCGGCCACACUGGAACUGAGACACGGUCCAGACUCCUACGGGAGGCAGCAGUGGGGAAUCUUCCGCAAUGGGCGAAAGCCUGACGGAGCAACGCCGCGUGAGUGAUGAAGGUCUUCGGAUCGUAAAACUCUGUUAUUAGGGAAGAACAAAUGUGUAAGUAACUAUGCACGUCUUGACGGUACCUAAUCAGAAAGCCACGGCUAACUACGUG